rnacentral:rRNA from 1 species
AGUGAACGCUGGCGGUAGGCCUAACACAUGCAAGUCGAACGGCAGCACAGGAGAGCUUGCUCUCUGGGUGGCGAGAGGCGGACAGGUGAGGAAUACAUCGGAAUCUACUCUGUCGUGGGGGAUAACGUAGGGAAACUUACGCUAAUACCGCAUACGACCUACGGGUGAAAGCAGGGGACCUUCGGGCCUUGCGCGAUUGAAUGAGCCGAUGUCGGAUUAGCUAGUUGGCGGGGUAAAGGCCCACCAAGGCGACGAUCCGCAGCUGGUCUGAGAGGAUGAUCAGCCACACUGGAACUGAGACACGGUCCAGACUCCUACGGGAGGCAGCAGUGGGGAAUAUUGGACAAUGGGCGCAAGCCUGAUCCAGCCAUACCGCGUGGGUGAAGAAGGCCUUCGGGUUGUAAAGCCCUUUUGUUGGGAAAGAAAUCCAGCUGGCUAAUACCCGGUUGGGAUGACGGUACCCAAAGAAUAAGCACCGGCUAACUUCGUGCCAGCCGCCGCAGUAA